CAGGCUGUCGCUCGAGCAGAGCAAAGAGAGCAUGGCAAGGGUGCCUGGCGUGUGGAGCUUGCAUGCGGUGUUAGUGUUGUUGUUGUUCAUUGCUCUGUGCUGCUUUGUAUGUGCAUACGAUGCAUGCUGUGUGCAUGCUCAAGCUGUGUGUAGCAAGGUGGCAAGCUUGUGCGUGAGAGCACACAUGAAGAAAUGGAUUAGGAGGUUGAUGGUGAUCGCUUAGGGAGAAUAGAAAGGUUAGAGAGAAGUUGUUGGCACUGAUUUUGAA
rnacentral:lncRNA from 1 species